rnacentral:lncRNA from 1 species
AUGGUCUACCUCUAAAAGCGUAGAGUGCCCUCUCUGACAACGCAUGUGAUCCAGUAGGCAGUGUCUGUUUUUCUCGUAAGUGUUUUCAUCACUAUAAAAAGUGAUUUAAAAUGGAAAGGGAUAUUGGAGGCAAUCCUCUGGUUUCACACUUCCUUUUCAGGCAAACAGGGCCCUCCUUAGAGUUAUCUGUUCACCAGAACAACCCAAAAGCACAUGUUCCUUUUUUCCUGUCAUGUUGUAGCUCAUUUGGGGGAAAAGAAGGCCAACUUAAAACAGUCCCAGGGGAGGAUUGCUUGAGCCCAGGAGUCUGAGGUUUGCAGUGAGCUAUGAUUGUGCCACUGCACUCCAGCCUGUCUCCAAAACAAAACAAAACAAAACAAAAGCCGUCCCAGAGGAAGUCCUGCUGCAGAAAAGAUGAUAGAAUUGGUCACCCAAUCAAUAGCUGUGAAGACUUCCUUAUUCCUGCUGAACUUCCUUCCUUGGAUAUCUUCAUGGAUAAGCCUGUGUCUGUGGACAGAGUGGGGCCCAAGUGCUGAGGCUCGAAAGACAGGUUUUACAAUCAGCCAAUUAAACAUCUUACCAGUUGCUGUACCCCUUGCCAAGGGGAUGAGCUGAGGAGCUUCUUUUCUUUAGGUCCAACAUCAAAAUGAGUCCAUCUGAGCUAGGGCUUUUUGCAAAGGUGAUUAAAAAUCAAGGCUGGAGUUCCAGCCAAAUAGGGAGGAGAGGUACCACAAGUUCAUCUUAAACUUGCUUCCGGGCUGGGUAGUUAAAACAGGAAGAUCCCAAGGGGAUCUUACGAGGCAAAUAUCAGCAGGUAACUGUGGAAGAAAGGAAAUCUCAGGACCUAAUGAGUUCGUUGUAAAAUAUUCCUGGGAAUAGAUGGGGGAUCUACUCCCAGUUUUUUACUUUUUACAGAAUAUUGUUGCUUUCCUACAACAAUGUACAUAUAUUUGCAGUUGUAUAUGCUUUUUUUUUUUCCAAAUAAACUUGUCACCCUGCAUGCCCUUGGCAAAUAAGUGAAGCAGAAAUAGGAACACAGUCCACAUUCAAGUUGAGGAACAGUGUAUCUUUAAGAGCUGAGCUUUGGGUGACCUGGAAAGGGGGAAAGAUGGCUAAGCAUGGAGAGAAACGAGGCAAGAGACAAGCUAUGAUACAACACCGCUUCAGCCCCUGCCCUCAAUAGCACACAACCCACAUAUCAGCUUUCUGAAGAGAAGGAACCUACUGUUUAGUGCUCCUCACUUUGCAAUGUUUGUGCUACGCCAGAAUUUCUCCAGUUUUUUUCAUUAUCAUCCCCCUGAGAAAAAAAUUACAUUGAAUUUAAAUUUUCCCUAAUAAGAGAAAUUAAAUAUGAAAGAAUAGGAUUUUGUUGGGUAAGAUUGAGCUUUGGAAGGUCACGAACCAUUAUUCUAUCUAAGGUGUGUGUUUUGUUUUGUUUUUUUUUGUUUUUUUUUUGCAAUCCCUCUCCCCCUGAACCAAUUUCACAUUGGGAAUGCAGGACCUAGACUGCUGAAUAAAAAGCUACUUCUUCUAUAAUUGUCAGGUUCUCUCCAAUUUCUCAGCUUCCUCAAAGACAUGGGGUGGAGUUGGGUGUGCCAUCACUGAGAGAGCUCUGGAACUUUUGACUCUUAGUGACAUUUUUAGAUUUAGGGGUUCAUGGCCUUCCACAUGUUGCCACCAACUGGUGAUCUCUGCCCCUUCAUGCUGAUCAAGAAAGUAGAAACUCCUCGUCGCCUUCAGGUUUGCAGUCGCAGAAACAUUGCCUGCUGUGGACUGUCAGCACAAAACUGGGACACUGGUGUCAUUUAGACUGUCAGCAGUGCACAUGAUUGUACGAUAGACUCCAGGCAACCAUGUGCAUCUGUGCAAGAUGACCUCUGCCCCAAGAGAAGGGUUACGGUCUAAUUAAAUGUUUACCAAGAUGGUACCAGUGGGCUCUCCCCGUGUCCUUUGGUGUUAUUGGAGCUGGUGUAUGACAGACUCAAGGAAAUUUUUUAAGGAAAAUGAAGAAGAAAUCAACCUUUAUGGUUCUCUUUCAUUGGAAGAGGAGAAUAAGGAAAGAAAUGGCAGGUAGAGAGGGAGGGGGAAAGGAAUAGAAAUGGCAUGUCUUUGAUGCUGUGGCUUGUGUGGGGACAAUGGGAAGAGCACAGCAGGCACAACAUAUCUGUGUUAGUGCCACGUGGUAUCUGUUAAGUAUGGCCAGAGCCUCACAUAUAAGUGAAGAGAGUUAAGACAAUUCUUGCUCUUUGAACAAUAAUAGUCUAUAGAAUUUCUAUUGGCAAACCAUCCCAGACAACCUGACCUAUCAAACAAAAGCAAAUAAUCCCUGUCUCAGAACUGCUGGUCUAAAAGCUAGAAGGGGCAUGAUAAUGGAAAUUGCUAGAAAAGAGAGAAUGCUCUACUCUCUUUCCUGUGCCUACCUACCCCCAUCCUAAACCCUGUAAAACAGAAUUUCAAAAUAGAUGUCAAAUAUGAAGUAAUUCAGACUUCCAAAGAAGGAAAGAGUUCUGCCCAGGGCAGUAUGAGCAAAUCCACAGGGAUGUUAAGAUUUGGUCCAACUCAAAGGUUUAUGGGCAGUGAGCCUAGAGUCUCUUGAGAGUAAACCCUUGCAUUUGGGACAAGGAGAAUAUGUGAAGUUCAGGAGUGCUCACACUAGAGCAAGAUCCAGAAAAAAAAAAAUCCAAUGGCAUUUUAAACUAGAUUGCAUUAUCACUCAAUGCUGUUACUUUGAGCAGACAAAUCAGUUGAAUGGGAGGGCAAAUGGCAGAAAUGAACAAAAGCUAUUAGGUGAAAGCAUCCCCAAUGUAUCAGUUGUGAGAUGAUUUUUGUUUAAUGAUGAUCAGGUUUACAUUGAAGUGGCUUGGAAGACGUAUUUCAGAGGGACUGGGUUUGUACUGCAAAACUCUGAACACUAGAGCAGGUUCUACUAGCACUUGGGCAGUAAGGUAGCGGGUGUGUAUUAUGCUAUUGCCAUAGUUCUCGUCUUUGUGGAUUCACAUACCCUUUCCCAUGAGGAGCUUGCUACUAACAGCCUCCUGUUUCUGUUGUUUUUAUAUGGGAGAAGAGAAAGAGCUUGGAAUUUCAAUUGUCUAAACAAUUGGUAUGAUUUACAAGAAGGCAAACCAUUCAGGAGAUGUUCAACAGUGUAUCAUUCUUAGCAUUCAAUACAAUGUUUAUUAUAAAAUAUACACCUGAGUUUAUGUUUUUCUGCCAGGCUGAAGGGCAAUAAUGUCUUGCUAUGCAAACACUCUAUUUUAUGUGUGAAUUUUUUUAACUGUAAUUUUAUGUGUGAAUUUUUUUAACUAAACUCUAUCAUCAUUUUCUAUGUUGACAUCUUUUUUUUUUUUUUAAUCUGUUUCCAACUCUGAGUCUGUGAACUAUCUCUUCUGACUGGAUGCUGGCCUAAAAUCCUAUUAGUGCUUAAACAGACCUCAAAACACUCUGAACCUGUAGGCCAAUACAGAGAUGUUGUUCUUUGAUAUAUCUUGGGUCCUUGAUGGCUUCAACAAACAAGGUCAUAAUUUGUUUAAAUUCAGUGUUUUCUGUAGAUACCUUCUUCUCAGUUUCAUUAAGAAGAGUAACCAUCUUUGGUUUUCCAAAGAAUGGAAACUCCUACCCUAGACUUUAGACUUAGAGCGUCUGCCUUUCACGAUGAGUAAGAGAUCCAGAAUGUUUAGGGGAUGUGCGUCAGCCCACCUGGUACAGUGGCAAAGCUGAAUGCGAACUUGAGGCCUCCUGAGGCCUGACCUUCUAUGCCCCCAGCCCUCCACCCCAAGCACCUUUUGGUGUGGCUGGAAACACAUGACAUUGGAUGUGAUUUUUCUCAAGCCCUUCACUGUGGAAGGCAUGGGAGACUGCCCAGCAUUGGGCAUGUGGCUGUUAACGUUUCCAUUUCAAGUCCCUGAUUCUUACUGGAGAAGUUAAGGAGCCACUUAAUGUUUUCACAGACCUCUGAUUCUGUUGUGAAUGUGGCAUUCCAGUGAGUACAACCUGCUUGCUAUAAAGAAAGCAGCAUAUUUUGACAAUUUUAUUUCUUCCUUGGGUACUUACAUUUUUAUUACAAAAAUGGCCGUUAUAAAAAAAGACAGAAGGGCUGGGCAGUGGCUUGCUCCCUAGAAACUGAGAUUCCGAAGCAGGUGUUUCCUCUCCCCUAGACUCAGAGGUACAUUUAAUCCAUCUUCUCCAUUUCCUCCUUCAGGACCAGCUAUGAGAUUCAGUGCAUUUCUAGCCCAGCGGAUGUUCAUUCUCCACUAAACUUCAUCUUUUACUAAGCAAAGGGGGAUUAUUCCAUGAGGCAGCCAGGAGCAAGGGGCCAUGAUAUUCAUGACUUUGUCUGCUGGGCAUUUUUCAAAGUGUCCUUGAAUUCACUCAGCAAACAAAGCUUUCUGGAGAAUCUCUCAAAACUUAGGCCCUGCUCCAUUUGGCCAAAAAUGAUGGCUGCUCCAAAACUCUGAACUUCUUAAAACUCCAUCUGCUACAUUAUUUCUGGAGUUUAAACAUGACUUUUUCUGUCUUUGAGUAUAGAUGUGUUUGUUUAAUUAACGAAGCACAAGUCUGUUAAGCAGAAGGCUCCAAGCUGUAUUCUAUACUUGGGAAUCCUUGGUGCCAUCUUUAUUCUACCAAGUGCCAAUCACCAUGGCUAAAGUGGGCGUAUAUUACAGCCUGUGUCCUAAGCUUAGAAGCUUUAAUGUACUUUUUUAAAUGAAAAGUAUUAGAGGGGGUUGAACAUUGUAACUAAAGCAUAAAGUUAGACCAAUUACAUGCAGAGAUGUUUAUUUAAUAUUGUGUGAGCUGAGUCCUUCUGUAUAAAUUAUUUGCACACUUUUCUUGCAUGAUGAACUGAUUUUUUAUAGUUGUUUGUACCAGACGGUGGCAUAUUUUUGUAAAAAACUUUUGACACUGAAUUGCAAUAAAUGUUUUUCCAACAAC